rnacentral:rRNA from 1 species
GCAGUAUCCUAACUGUGCUAAGGUAGCAUAAUCAUUAGUCUUUUAAUUGAAGACUGGUAUGAAUGGCUAAACGAGAAAUUAACUUUUUUUGUUAUAAAAAUUGAAUUUAAUUUUUUAGUGAAAAAGCUAAAAUUUUUCAGAAAGACGAGAAGACCCUAUAGAGUUUAAUAAUUUUUUGUAUUAAAUUUUAUUUGAUUUUUACAAAUUAAGUACAAAAAAAUUAUUUUGUUGGGGCGACAUUUAGAUAAAAAAAACUCUUUAUUUUUUAUAUUUUUAUGAAAAAAGUAUUGAUCCUUUAAAAAAGAUCAAAAGAAAAAAUUACCUUAGGGAUAACAGCGUAAUCUUUUUUGAGAGUUCUAAUCGACAAAAAGGUUUGCGACCUCGAUGUUGGACUAAAAUUUAGGCAGGGUGUAGAAGUUCUGCUUUAAGGUCUGUUCGACCUAUA